GCCAGGCAUGGUGGUGCAUGCCUGUAAUCUCAACUACUUGGGAGGCAGAGGCAGGAGACUCGCUUGAACCCAGGAAGUGAAGGUUGCAGUGAGCCGAGAUGGCAACACUGCACUCCAGCCUGGGCUACAGAGUGAGACUCUGUCUCAA
ensembl:misc_RNA Metazoa_SRP Metazoan signal recognition particle RNA